rnacentral:rRNA from 1 species
AGUCGAGCGAGUCUGCCUUGAAGAUCGGAGUGCUUGCACUCUGUGAAACAAGAUACAGGCUAGCGGCGGACGGGUGAGUAACACGUGGGUAACCUGCCCAAGAGAUCGGGAUAACACCUGGAAACAGAUGCUAAUACCGGAUAACAACAGAUGAUGCCUAUCAACUGUUUAAAAGAUGGUUCUGCUAUCACUCUUGGAUGGACCUGCGGUGCACUAGCUAGUUGGUAGGGUAACGGCCUACCAAGGCGAUGAUGCAUAGCCGAGUUGAGAGACUGAUCGGCCACAUUGGGACUGAGACACGGCCCAAACUCCUACGGGAGGCAGCAGUAGGGAAUCUUCCACAAUGGACGCAAGUCUGAUGGAGCAACGCCGCGUGAGUGAAGAAGGGUUUCGGCUCGUAAAGCUCUGUUGUUGGUGAAGAAGGACGGGGGUAGUAACUGACCUUUGUUUGACGGUAAUCAAUUAGAAAGUCACGGCUAACUACGUGCCAGCAGCCGCGGUAAUACGUAGGUGGCAAGCGUUGUCCGGAUUUAUUGGGCGUAAAGCGAGUGCAGGCGGUUCGAUAAGUCUGAUGUGAAAGCCUUCGGCUCAACCGGAGAAUUGCAUCAGAAACUGUCGAGCUUGAGUACAGAAGAGGAGAGUGGAACUCCAUGUGUAGCGGUGAAAUGCGUAGAUAUAUGGAAGAACACCGGUGGCGAAGGCGGCUCUCUGGUCUGUUACUGA